CCGGACGUGAUGACAGAUUCAGCGCUGACGCUGGUGAUGGCCGUUGUGUUCGUACUGUCUGAUCCGU
rfam:Aptenodytes forsteri contig52314, whole genome shotgun sequence.